AUUGAACGCUGGCGGCAUGCCUUACACAUGCAAGUCGAACGGCAGCGCGGGAGCAAUCCUGGCGGCGAGUGGCGAACGGGUGAGUAAUACAUCGGAACGUGCCCAAUCGUGGGGGAUAACGCAGCGAAAGCUGUGCUAAUACCGCAUACGAUCUACGGAUGAAAGCAGGGGAUCGCAAGACCUUGCGCGAAUGGAGCGGCCGAUGGCAGAUUAGGUAGUUUGUGAGGUAAAGGCUCACCAAGCCUUCGAUCUGUAGCUGGUCUGAGAGGACGACCAGCCACACUGGGACUGAGACACGGCCCAGACUCCUACGGGAGGCAGCAGUGGGGAAUUUUGGACAAUGGGCGAAAGCCUGAUCCAGCCAUGCCGCGUGCAGGAUGAAGGCCUUCGGGUUGUAAACUGCUUUUGUACGGAACGAAACGGUCUUUUCUAAUAAAGAAGGCUAAUGACGGUACCGUAAGAAUAAGCACCGGCUAACUACGUG
rnacentral:rRNA from 1 species